rnacentral:rRNA from 1 species
CGAAUGCUGACAUAAGUAACGAUAAAGCGGGUGAAAAGCCCGCUCGCCGGAAGACCAAGGGUUCCUGUCCAACGUUAAUCGGGGCAGGGUGAGUCGACCCCUAAGGCGAGGCCGAAAGGCGUAGUCGAUGGGAAACAGGUUAAUAUUCCUGUACUUGGUGUUACUGCGAAGGGGGGACGGAGAAGGCUAUGUUGGCCGGGCG